rnacentral:rRNA from 1 species
CAAGAAGACCCUAAGAAUUUUAAAAAUAGUAAUUUUUAGUUUCAAAGAAUGCUAUUUUUUAGUUGGGGCAACUAAGAAAUAUUAUAAACUUUUUUAAAAUAAAAUGAUCCAUUAUUAAUGAUUAUCUGAAAAAAUACUCUAGGGAUAACAGCGUAAUAAUUUUUGAUAGAACAUAUAGACAAAAUAGUUUGCGACCUCGAUGUUGGAUUAGGAUACUUUUUUAAUGAAGAUGUUAAAAAAAGAAGUUUGUUCAACUUUUAAAGUCCUACUUGAUCUGAGUUCA